UUAGUAAACAGAAGCCUCGGUGGAAGAUUACUAAUGAGAGUGGCGAACGGGUGAGUAACGCGUGAGCAACCUGCCUAUGACAGUGGGAUAGCCUCGGGAAACCGGGAUUAAUACCGCAUAAAAUCGUAGAAACACAUGUUUCAACGGUCAAAGAUUUAUCGGUCAUAGAUGGGCUCGCGUCUGAUGAGCUAGGUGGUGAGAUAACAGCCCACCAAGGCGACGAUCAGUAGCCGGUCUGAGAGGAUGAACGGCCACAUUGGAACUGAGACACGGUCCAAACUCCUACGGGAGGCAGCAGUGGGGAAUAUUGCACAGUGGGGGGAACCCUGAUGCAGUGACGCCGCGUGAACGAAGAAGGUAUUCGUAUCGUACAGUUCUGUCCUAUGGGAAGAUAAUAAUUAUUAUCC
rnacentral:rRNA from 1 species